rnacentral:rRNA from 1 species
CCUACGGGGGGCAGCAGUGGGGAAUAUUGCGCAAUGGGCGAAAGCCUGACGCAGCGACGCCGCGUGAGGGAUGAAGGUCUUCGGAUCGUAAACCUCUGUCAGCAGGGAAGAACGGUCACUGUGCUAAUCAGCAGUGAAUUGACGGUACCUGCAAAGGCAGCACCGGCUAACUCCGUGCCAGCAGCCGCGGUAAUACGGAGGGUGCGAGCGUUAAUCGGAAUUACUGGGCGUAAAGCGCUCGUAGGCGGUAUGUCAAGUCAAGGGGGAAAUCCCCGCGCUCAACGUGGGAACUGCCUUUGAAACUGGCAAACUGGAGUGUGUGAGAGGAGAGUGGAAUUCCAGGUGUAGGAGUGAAAUCCGUAGAUAUCUGGAGGAACAUCAGUGGCGAAGGCGACUAUCUGGCACAUAACUGACGCUGAGGAGCGAAAGCGUGGGUAGCAAACAGGAUUAGAUACCCCAGUAGUC